CACGUAGGCACCAAGCGUUGUCCGGAUUUAUUGGGCGUAAAGAGCUCGUAGGCGGUUCAGUAAGUCGGGUGUGAAAUCUCCAGGCUCAACCUGGAGGGGUCAUUCGAUACUGCCGUGACUAGAGUUCGGUAGAGGAGUGUGGAAUUCCUGGUGGAGCGGUGAAAUGCGCAGAGAUCAGGAGGAACACCCGUAGCGAAGGCGGCACUCUGGGCCGAUACUGACACUGAGGAGCGAAAGCGUGGGGAGCGAACAGG
rnacentral:rRNA from 1 species